rnacentral:rRNA from 1 species
GAUGAACGCUGGCGGCGUGCCUAAUACAUGCAAGUCGAGCGAACAGACGAGGAGCUUGCUCCUCUGACGUUAGCGGCGGACGGGUGAGUAACACGUGGAUAACCUACCUAUAAGACUGGGAUAACUUCGGGAAACCGGAGCUAAUACCGGAUAAUAUAUUGAACUGCAUGGUUCAAUAGUGAAAGACGGUUUUGCUGUCACUUAUAGAUGGAUCCGCGCCGCAUUAGCUAGUUGGUAAGGUAACGGCUUACCAAGGCGACGAUGCGUAGCCGACCUGAGAGGGUGAUCGGACACACUGGAACUGAGACACGGUCCAGACGCCUACGGGAGGCAGCAGUAGGGAAUCUUCCGCAAUGGGCGAAAGCCUGACGGAGCAACGCCGCGUGAGUGAUGAAGGUCUUCGGAUCGUAAAACUCUGUUAUUAGGGAAGAACAAAUGUGUAAGUAACUAUGCACGUCUUGACGGUACCUAAUCAGAAAGCCACGGCUAACUACGUG